rnacentral:rRNA from 1 species
GACGAACGCUGGCGGCGUGCCUAAUACAUGCAAGUCGACCUUAGUGGCGGACGGGUGAGUAAUGCCUAGGAAUCCGCCUGGUAGUGGGGGAUAAAGACCGGAAACGGGCGCUAAUACCGCAUACUAUCAGAUGAGCCUAGGUCGGAUUAGCUAGUUGGUGGGGUAAAGGCCUACCAAGGCGCCGAUCCGUAACUGGUCUGAGAGGUGGAUGAGUCCCACGGGAACUGGGCCAGGGUCCAGACUCCUACGGGAGGCAGCAGUGGGGAUUAUUGGACAAUGGGCGAAAGCCUGAUCCAGCCAGUCCGCGUGUGUGAGGAAGGUCUUCGGAUUGUAAAGCUCUUUAAGUUGUGCGGCGUUACCAACAGAAUAAGCACCGGCUAACUUCGUGCCAGCAGCCGCGGUAAUUC